GAUGAACGCUGGCGGCGUGCCUAAUACAUGCAAGUCGAGCGAACUUUUGGGACCUUGCUCCCAUACGUUAGCGGCGGACGGGUGAGUAACACGUGGGUAACCUGCCUGUAAGACUGGGAUAACUUCGGGAAACCGGAGCUAAUACCGGAUAACAUUUAAGACUACAUGGCCUUCAAUUAAAAGGUGGCUUUUAGCUACCACUUACAGAUGGACCUGCGGCGCAUUAGCUAGUUGGUGCGUUAACGGAUCACCAAGGGGACGAUGCGUAGCCGACCUGACAGGGUGGUCAGCCGCACUGGGACUGAGACACGGCCCAUACUGCUACGGGCAGCAGCAGUAGUGAUACUUCCGCCAUCGGCGAGAAUCUGACGAAGCUAGGCCGCGUGCGCGAGGAAGGCCGUCGCGUCGUAAAGCUCUGUUGUUGGGGAAGAACAAGUAUCGUUCGGAUAGGGCGGUACCGUGACGGUACCUAGUCAGAAAGCCACGGCUAACUACGUG
rnacentral:rRNA from 1 species